rnacentral:lncRNA from 1 species
CUUGUUAUUUUGUUUUGUCUUGCCUUGGUUACUAAUUUUGUCUUUGUUUUCCAAUGCAGCUUUUCAUUCUGUCCUAUGCGCCGAGGGUCGCAUGGAAGCAAAUUUUGUCUUUGUUUUCCAAUGCAGCUUUUCAUUCUGUCCUAUGCGCCGAGGGUCGCAUGGAAGCAGCCUCUCUGCCCUUUUGGGUAGGGGUAAAACUGCCUACAUAUUACCCUCCCCAGACCCCACCUGGUGGGAGUAUACUGGGUAGUUGUUGUUGUUGUUGUU